rnacentral:tRNA from 1 species
GGGAAGAUACCAAAGCGGCCAACUGGGGCAGACUGUAAAUCUGCUGGCUUACGCCUUCGUAGGUUCGAAUCCUGCUCUUCCCA